rnacentral:rRNA from 1 species
AUUAAAUAAUUUAGAUGGCCUUUGCUAGUUUUCUAGCGAAUGGUUCAUUCUUUUUUACUGUGAACUGUUUUAAUUUUUCAGCGUCUGAGGAAUGUCUUUUAGCCAUAGGGAUAGGCUACUAGAAUGUUAACCGAGCUGAAAGUCAGGCUUAGGCCUGGUAUCCUAUUAAUUAUUUACCAAAAGAAUUCAGUAUUAUAAUUGUAACAUAAGCGUAAAAAACUUAUAAAACAACUUUUAACAACGGAUCUCUUGGUUCUCGCAUCGAUGAAGAACGUAGCAAAGUGCGAUAACUAGUGUGAAUUGCAUAUUCAGUGAAUCAUCGAGUCUUUGAACGCAACUUGCGCUCAAUGGUAUUCCAUUGAGCACGCCUGUUUCAGUAUCAAAAACACCCCACAUUCAUAAUUUUGUUGUGAAUGGAAUUGAGAGUUUCGGCUUUAUUGCUGAAUUCUUUAAAAUUAUUAGGCCUGAACUAUUGUUCUUUCUGCCUGAACAUUUUUUUAAUAUAAAGGAAUGCUCUAGUAAAAAGACUAUCUCUGGGGCCUCCCAAAUAAAUCAUUCUUAAAUUUGAUCUGAAAUCAGGCGGGAUUACCCGCUGAACUUAAGCAUAUCAAUAA